rnacentral:lncRNA from 1 species
AAACUGUGGUCCCAAGUCUCUGUCCUUCAGGACACAGAUGGAUAAGCAAGGCACAAACCAGGCUCCAAGACUAUGAGUCUCAUGUGGAGAAGGUGAGCCACCAGGACCUUCAACCUUGGGGACGUAAGAAGGUAGAUUUAGGAUGAGGGAGAAGUCGUCUUGCCCAAAGAUCAGUUUAUUCCAUUGAAGAAACAAGCAGUCUAUGAGAGGACGUGCUCAGCAGGCUGGAGGGAUGCCUCGUGGUGGCGCCCAUGGUGGGCUUUGAUCCAGUAGACCUCUGACUUGCCCUUUGGCCUCCUCCAGCCCCUGCCCCAACCCUGCCGACACUCUCUGCGAAGGGAACAUAUCACUAGUCCCCCAGGGCCUGACACACAGCUGAUGAUCACAGAUGAAGCUGUUUCCAGCCUGUCUGUCCCCUCAGCAUUGACUGGCACGUGACAUAUACCUCAUCAUAGAGCCACAUGUGCCAGCCCUUCCCACAGAUCACGGUGCCUUUAUACUCCCUGCAUCUGAUUGGAACUCCCGACUGACGUCUUGAGUAUUGACACAUGCCAGGGAAGUGUUCUCCCCAGAAGUUGGCCUGUCCUUGCUAGUGCUCCAUUUCCAUUGACUUGGGAGGCUAGCACAUCCAUUCUUCCCACUCAGAAAACACUGUGAAGAUUCCUCUAGUGCAGGCUCUCCAUCCUAUU